GCGACGUAGCCAAGUGGUUAAGGCGGAGGUCUGCAAAACCUCUAUUCAGGAGUUCGAAUCUCCUCGUCGC
rnacentral:tRNA from 1 species